CACAUUUUAAGUGAGUGUCAAGCUCCCCCUAAAUCAUUGCAUCCAGUGCAAGUGAGUGUGAACAAUAUAACCGUGAUGCACAUGACAUGUAUAAAUCACACAAGAAAAAAAAUAUGAAACAUACACCAACAGAGGUCAUGGCAACACACUUGCAAAAAUAGAAAUCUAAAAAAAAUAUAACCAGCACACAUAGCAAACAUCACAUAGAUUUCCCAAGUCCACAAGUCACUAAGAUAAAGAUCAUGUCUCAUUCCAUAGUCUCAACAAGAUACAAGAUAAAGUCUCAUGAUACAUCAAUAAAAGCUCAUCAUAGACACUACAGCUGC
rnacentral:lncRNA from 1 species